rnacentral:rRNA from 1 species
GAUGAACGCUGGCGGCGUGCCUAAUACAUGCAAGUCGAGCGAACAGACGAGGAGCUUGCUCCUCUGACGUUAGCGGCGGACGGGUGAGUAACACGUGGAUAACCUACCUAUAAGACUGGGAUAACUUCGGGAAACCGGAGCUAAUACCGGAUAAUAUAUUGAACCGCAUGGUUCAAUAGUGAAAGACGGUUUUGCUGUCACUUAUAGAUGGAUCCGCGCCGCAUUAGCUAGUUGGUAAGGUAACGGCUUACCAAGGCAACGAUGCGUAGCCGACCUGAGAGGGUGAUAGGCCACACUGUAACUGAGACACGGUCCAGACUCCUACGGGAGGCAGCAGUAGGGAAUCUUCCGCAAUGGGCGAAAGCCUGACGGAGCAACGCCGCUUGAGUGAUGAAGGUCUUCGGAUCGUAAAACUCUGUUAUUAGGGAAGAACAAAUGUGUAAGUAACUAUGCACGUCUUGACGGUACCUAAUCAGAAAGCCACGGCUAACUACGUG